rnacentral:rRNA from 1 species
CUUUAACGCUGGCGGCAGGCCUAACACAUGCAAGUCGAGCGGAUGAAGGGAGCUUGCUCCUGGAUUCAGCGGCGGACGGGUGAGUAAUGCCUAGGAAUCUGCCUGGUAGUGGGGGAUAACGUCCGGAAACGGGCGCUAAUACCGCAUACGUCCUGAGGGAGAAAGUGGGGGAUCUUCGGACCUCACGCUAUCAGAUGAGCCUAGGUCGGAUUAGCUAGUUGGUGGGGUAAAGGCCUACCAAGGCGACGAUCCGUAACUGGUCUGAGAGGAUGAUCAGUCACACUGGAACUGAGACACGGUCCAGACUCCUACGGGAGGCAGCAGUGGGGAAUAUUGGACAAUGGGCGAAAGCCUGAUCCAGCCAUGCCGCGUGUGUGAAGAAGGUCUUCGGAUUGUAAAGCACUUUAAGUUGGGAGGAAGGGCAGUAAGUUAAUACCUUGCUGUUUUGACGUUACCAACAGAAUAAGCACCGGCUAACUUCGUG